AUUGAACGCUGGCGGCAGGCCUAACACAUGCAAGUCGAGCGAGUGGCGGACGUGUGAGUAAUGUAUGGGACCUGCCUGAUAGAGGGGGAUAACUACUGGAAACGGUGGCUAAUACCGCAUACUAUCGGAUAACCCAUAUGGGAUUAGCUAGUUGGUGGGGUAAAGGCUCACCUAGGCGACGAUCUCUAGCUGGUCUGAGAGGAUGAUCAGCCACACUGGAACUGAGACACGGUCCAGACUCCUACGGAGGCAGCAGUGGGGAAUAUUGCACAAUGGGCGCAAGCCUGAUGCAGCCAUGCCGCGUGUAUGAAGAAGGCCUUAGGGUUGUAAAGUACUUUCAGCGGGGAGGCGUUACCCGCAGAAGAAGCACCGGCUAACUCCGUGCCAGCCGCCGCGGUAAUAC
rnacentral:rRNA from 1 species